GAUGAACGCUAGCGGGAGGCUUAAUACAUGCAAGUCGAGGGGCAGCAUGGGACUUCGGUCCUGAUGGCGACCGGCGCACGGGUGAGUAACGCGUACACAAUCUACCUUUAACUGAGGAAUAGCCCUGGGAAACUGGGAUUAAUGCCUCAUAGUUUUUCGAUUCGCAUGAAUUGGGGAAUAAAGUUUCGGCGGUUAGAGAUGAGUGUGCGUCCUAUUAGCUUGUUGGUAAGGUAACGGCUUACCAAGGCUACGAUAGGUAGGGGGCGUGAGAGCGUGAUCCCCCACACGGGUACUGAGACACGGACCCG
rnacentral:rRNA from 1 species